GGCUCCGUAGCUCAGGGGAUAGAGCAACCGCCUCCUAAGCGGUAGGUCUCAGGUUCGAAUCCUGACGGGGCCACCA
rnacentral:tRNA from 1 species